GGUUAAGUGUAUUAAGCGUACACGGUGAAUGCCUUGGCAGUCAGAGGCGAAGAAGGACGUGUAAAUCUGCGAAAAGUGUCGGUAAAUUGAUAUAAAAUGUUAUUAACCGGCAAUAUCCGAAUGGGGAAACCUGAUGUAAUAAAAUUACAUCAUUGUCAAAUGAAUCUAUAUUUUGACAAAGCAAACUAAGGGAACUGAAACAUCUAAGUACCUUAAGGAAAAGAAAUCAAUUGAGAUUCCCUAAGUAGUGGCGAGCGAAAGGGGAAGAGCCCAUAGCCAUUAUCAAUUUAUGUAUUAAGAAAAUGGUUUGGAAAAUCCAACAAUAUAGGGUGAUAGUCCCGUAUCUGAAAAUAUAUAUAUUGUGAGCUUGAUGAUUAGGAUGGGACACGUGAUAUCCUGUCUGAAAAUGGGGGGACCAUCCUCCAAGGCUAAAUACUACUGACUGACCGAUAGUGAACUAGUACCGUGAGGGAAAGGUGAAAAGAACCCCGGUUAGGGGAGUGAAAUAGAACCUGAAACCGUGUACGUACAAGCAGUAGGAGCAUUUUAUUAAAUGUAACUGCGUACCUUUUGUAUAAUGGGUCAGCGACUUAUAUUCUGUAGCAAGGUUAACUGUAUAAGGGAGCCGUAGGGAAACCGAGUCUUAACUGGGCGUUAAGUUGCAGGAUAUAGACCCGAAACCCGGUGAUCUAGCCAUGAGCAGGUUGAAAGUUAGGUAAUACUAACUGGAAGACCGAACUGACUAAUGUUGAAAAAUUAGCGGAUGACUUGUGGUUAGGGGUGAAAGGCCAAUCAAACCGGGAGAUAGCUGGUUCUCCCCGAAAGCUAUUUAGGUAGCGCCUCGUGAAUUUAUCUAUGGGGGUAGAGCACUGUUUCGUGCUAGGGGUCUAUACUGGAUUACCAACCCGAUGCAAACUUCGAAUACUAUAGAAUAAUAUCAUGGGAGACACACGGCGAGUGCUAACAUCCGUCGUGAAGAGGGAAACAACCCAGACCGCCAGCUAAGGUCCCUAAGUUAUAGUUAAGUGGGAAACGAUGUGGGAAGGCAUAGACAGCUAGGAUGUUGGCUUAGAAGCAGCAAUCAUUUAAAGAAAGCGUAAUAGCUCACUAGUAGAGUCAAUCUGCGCGAAAGAUGUAACGGGGCUAAAUUAUACACCGAAGCUGCGGCAACAAUAAUUAUUAUAAUUAUGGUUGGGUAGGGGAGCGUUCUGUAAGCCUAUGAAGAUAUACUGUAAGGUAUAUUGGAGGUAUCAGAAGUGCGAAUGCUGACAUAAGUAACGAUAAAGCAGGUGAAAAACCUGCUCGCCGAAAGACUAAGGGUUCCUGUUCAACGUUAAUCGGAGCAGGGUUAGUCGGCUCCUAAGAUGAGGCCGAAAGGCGUAGUCGAUGGAAAACAGGUUAAUAUUCCUGUACUUAGUAUAACUGUGAAGGGGGGACGAAGAAAGCUAGAUUCUCCGGGGGACGGUUGUCUCGGUUCAAACGUAAAGGUGGAAAUAGUAGGUAAAUCCGCUAUUUCUUAUUAACACUAAGGCGUGAUAACGAAUCACUAAGGUGAUGAAGGAAUUAAUGCUAUGCUUCCAAGAAAAGCCUCUAAACUAAAGGUUAUAUUAAAUCGUACCAUAAACCGACACAGGUGGUCAGGUAGAGAAUACUUAGGCGCUUGAGAGAACUCAGGUGAAGGAACUAGGCAAAAUGGUGCCGUAACUUUGGGAGAAGGCACGCUGACAUAUCAGUGGAGAAUUUUACAUUCUGAGCUGAAGUCAGUCGAAGAUACCAGCUGGCUACAACUGUUUAUUAAAAACACAGCACUGUGCAAACACGAAAGUGGACGUAUACGGUGUGACGCCUGCCCGGUGCCGGAAGGUUAAUUGAUAGGGUUAUCUUUAUUUUGAAAAGCUCUUGAUCGAAGCCCCGGUAAACGGCGGCCGUAACUAUAACGGUCCUAAGGUAGCGAAAUUCCUUGUCGGGUAAGUUCCGACCUGCACGAAUGGCGUAAUGAUAGCCAGACUGUCUCCACCUGAGACUCAGUGAAAUUGAAUUUGCCGUGAAGAUGCGGUGUACCCGCGGCAAGACGGAAAGACCCCGUGAACCUUUACUAUAGCUUGACAUUGAAUGUUGAAUUUUAAUGUGUAGAAUAGGUGGGAGGCUUUGAAGUGUGUACGUCAGUAUACAUGGAGCCGACAUUGAAAUACCACCCUUUAAUGUUUAAUAUUCUAAUUUUGAUCCGUAAUCCGGAUUUAAGACAGUGUCUGGUGGGUAGUUUGACUGGGGCGGUCUCCUCCUAAAGAGUAACGGAGGAGCACAAAGGUUAGCUAAUUACGGUUGGAAAUCGUAAGGUUAGUGCAAAGGCAUAAGCUAGCUUAACUGUGAGAGUGACAACUCGAGCAGAUGCGAAAGCAGGUCUUAGUGAUCCGGUGGUUCUGUAUGGAAGGGCCAUCGCUCAACGAAUAAAAGGUACUCCGGGGAUAACAGGCUAAUACCGCCCAAGAGUUCAUAUCGACGGCGGUGUUUGGCACCUCGAUGUCGGCUCAUCACAUCCUGGGGCUGAAGUAGGUCCCAAGGGUAUGGCUGUUCGCCAUUUAAAGUGGUACGCGAGCUGGGUUUAGAACGUCGUGAGACAGUUCGGUCCCUAUCUGCCGUGGGCGUUGGAAGAUUGAGAGAAACUGCUCCUAGUACGAGAGGACCGGAGUGGACGCACCGCUGGUAUUCGGGUUGUCAUGCCAAUGGCAUUGCCCGGUAGCUAUGUACGGAAAAGAUAACCGCUGAAAGCAUUUAAGCGGGAAGCUUAACUCAAGAUAAGUCUUCCCGAGGCUUUAAGCCUCCUUAAGGGACGUUAAAGACGAUGACGUUGAUAGGUCGGAUGUGUAAGCGUUGUAAAGCGUUGAGCUAACCGAUACUAAUUUCCCGUGAGAACUUAACCUA
rfam:secondary endosymbiont of Trabutina mannipara isolate TRABTM genome assembly, chromosome: I